CGCUACGCCGCGGGAGAGCGUCGUCCGAUCACCUCGGACGGCCGCCGAAGGAGCAACACCUCUCCGUCAAACUCUCAGGCACCCGGGACCGUGGCAACUGC
rnacentral:ncRNA from 2 species